UGGAGACAGGUCCAGAAACGCAUCUUCGGCUGCCCUGAGGCCUCCCCUCAUACCUGCUUGGUUUAAAUGUGUGCCCAUGUAAAGACACCGGGGCCUCCAUUUGCAUCUGCACAUCAGAGGAGACAUAGAUUCGUUAUGAUAAUGUCUUCAUGCAUCAAGAGCUACAACUAUUUUUGAGAAGAAACUGGCUUUAAUUAGGAGCUUUUUAUUCCAAAAUAUGCAGACUGCAGCAUGUCUGUGAAUAACUAGCUGAGGUGCUGUACAUCCAGAUCUUUGCUUGGCUCACGAUGAAAUGACUAAUGAAGAACCUAUGGAAAAGAAGCCAUUUAUAAAGACCAGCCAUGGCAAGAAUGUUUUGAAAGAAAAUGUGGUAAAAAAAAACCCAAAACAAAUAAGAUACAGGUUUUUGAACACCGAUGGGUCAAAAAUUCUAGCAUUAACCUGCAAUUACACCAACAGCAUACUAUACUGGAGACACAGCCAAGAGUCCCAGGCAAAGCCCUGGCUGUGCAGAAGUACUGUACAGACAUGUAAGGUGGUUUUAAACUAGGUAGUUCAACUACCAUUAAUGAUUACUCUGUAUCAGUGUGGUUCAUUUGCCUUCCAUUUCUACUGUGAAGGAGGUGGAAGCUGAAGGGAACUAAUGGUUUUGCAUCACUUACCUGUUUCUUCCUCUCAGAAGGGAACUCAACAGCAGAUGCUGUGAAACUUCUCUGCCCAGCGUCACAGAACCUGGAAUGACUUGCUGAGGCAAAAACGGCUGCUUCAAAAUAGAUGUGCAAAGGUGCCUCCUUUGCUUUGAUUGCUAAGGACACAACAAAUUAAUCCUAAUUAGAAGCCUAAUUGGACAGUCCAAGAUGUAAUCAAUAUUAAACCAAAUGCUCUUAAUGGUGAUCUGUCAGUUUUCUUUUUAGAAGUUGCUGAAGUCGUAUCUUCAAAUUGUUCUUUCAAGUUGCUUUUUACAAAGAUAUUUCAGGUAGACUUCAAAUUAGCACCUACUGGAGUAUCUGUGACCUUCACUAGAAAUCAGUAGCCUUAUUAGUCAUCAGAAACCCAAAAUUAUUUGUGUGACAUCUAGUAAGAGAAAACUACAAGGUUGAAAAAUAUUAUUUAAAUGUUUUUUAAACUCCCAAGCCUCUCAUCUCAGCUAAAUCCCAGACUUGGUGUACUAUAUGUGUGAACUGGGGUGAGUUUAUACAUCAUUUGAGCACUUUAGCAACCUGACUGAAGUAGAACACUUAAUGAAUCAGGGGUCUGGACAGGUGUAUCUGUAAUCUGCCAGACCACAAAACAUGAGCAGCAGAAGCUACAAGUGUCAGUCUUUCUCUCAUCCUUCUGUCAUCUUCACUGUAUUUUUUCACUUGAAUAUCACAUUACAUAUGGUCAGAAUCUGAUAUUGUUUUCCAUCUUUGAAACUUGAUUUUUUUGUCAAGUGAAGAAGGAGGAAAGACAAGCAUAUUUGUCUGAGAAAUAGGUGAUGUCCUGUCCUAGGUUCAACUGUCAUUCUCUCUUCUAUAUGCACUUCCAAAUGAGGGAAAGCAUUUCAAAGCACAAGAGUGCUAACUCAGCUGCUCAGUGUCAGUACAGCAUAAAGUGGUGUUAACUGUUCUACAUGCAAGAACAUUCUUUAACUUCAGUGUUAACAUUUUCCAAAGUGUGUGGUGCAGGAGGCAGGAUGGCUGGCCUGAAAGACAUAGAGGCCUUUAAAAAUGUAUAGCAUUAGGACACAGAAUGAGGAAGAACAGGAACCAUAGCAGUGGUUCAAGAGGUUUGAUUUGGUGGCAGAUGCAAACUGCUCUAAUACUGUGCUUCAGUGCUGCAGGCAACUAUCCAAUCUGUCUGCAUUCCCCAGCACUGGGGCUGUUGUUUACCUGGCUUCACUACUUACCUCACAAAUUCUGACUGAGACAGCUGGGCAUCUGCUUCUGCAUGUGUGCUGAUCUGAAGAGUGGGACCUGUGUUACAGAUAAACAACUUUGUUGUAUUGCCUUUUUGAAGGACAGGUGGCAUUAGAGGCUCAUGGGGAUAGUUCCUGGUGGACUAUCAAUUAACACUGAUUUUCAGGGUUUUAGGCAGCUGAUUUUGCACAAAAAAGAGCAGAGAGGUACCCAACACUGUGCCCAAAGAUAGCAAGCUACAUACACUGCUGAAAGCUCGCCUUGAGGAGUAAUUUAUUUUCUGAGAGGCACACACAUUUGAUAAACCUAUGCCUUUGGUUAUGCCUGACAGCUGAACAUGUGAAAUCAUUUGGUAUCACCUAACCAUUUGCUUCUAGUCAUACUCUGCAUAUCUUAGGAUUUGUUUAUUGCUUAAAGUUAUGUUUCCCUAACUGUAAGUGUACCUCUUGAUUUGUCAAGUAGCUUGGCAGUUAAUACACUACUAUACUUAUGAGAGAUAUUGUCAUAAACAAAUAUUUACAAUAAAUCCUAUAUGCUGGUAUAUCAUGUUGCACAAAUAUUUAUUUGUUUAAAUUCUCUUCAAAAUUGGGACAGCAAUUGAAGAAAUGCAGCUGGCUAAAUAGCUAAAAUUUACAAAGCUGACAAUGGUACACACCAAAUAGCUACUGCAGUUUUGAUAGUGAAUAGUAAAGUCACUAAGGAAGAGAAACUGUGUGUCCUUUGCUAUUCAGCUAUCUAUUUGUCCAACUAUUGUGUGUAUAGCUAUGAAAUUAAGGAAACUUUAUUUCCACUUGGGUUGUUAAAAGCCUGGUGUAUGAAAGCCAGAGGUAUUUAUGGUAACAGUUACUGUAGCCUGUUAUAAUCCAGUAAAAUUGUUACAAAGUA